AGAGUUUGAUCCUGGCUCAGAACGAACGCUGGCGGCGUGGAUAAGACAUGCAAGUCGAACGGGAACUUUUUUGGUAGCAAUACUAGAAAAGUUCUAGUGGCGAACGGGUGCGUAACACGUGGGCAAUCUACCGAGAAGUGGGGGAUAGCUCGCCGAAAGGCGAAUUAAUACCGCAUGUGAUCAGGGGAGACAUCUCUCCGAAAUCAAAGCCGGGGCAACCUGGCGCUUUUUGUGGGGCCCGCGGCCUAUCAGCUUGUUGGUGAGGUAACGGCUCACCAAGGCUAUGACGGGUAGCUGGUCUGAGAGGACGACCAGUCACACUGGAACUGAGACACGGUCCAGACACCUACGGGUGGCAGCAGUCGAGAAUUUUUCUCAAUGGGGGAAACCCUGAAGGAGCGACGCCGCGUGGAGGAUGAAGGUCUUCGGGUUGUAAACUCCUGUCAUUUGGGAACAAGUCGUACGUAGUAACUAUACGUGCGUUGAUAGUACCAGAAGAGGAAGGGACGGCUAACUCUGUGCCAGCAGCCGCGGUAAUACAGAGGUCUCAAGCGUUGUUCGGAUUCAUUGGGCGUAAAGGGUGUGUAGGUGGCGCCGUAAGUGGGGUGUGAAAUUUCGAGGCUUAACCUCGAAACUGCAUUCCAUACUGCGGUGCUUGAGGACUGGAGAGGAGACUGGAAUUUACGGUGUAGCAGUGAAAUGCGUAGAUAUCGUAAGGAAGACCAGUGGCGAAAGCGGGUCUCUGGACAGUUCCUGACACUGAGACACGAAAGCCAGGGGAGCAAACGGGAUUAGAUACCCCGGUAGUCC
rnacentral:rRNA from 1 species